AGAGUUUGAUCAUGGCUCAGGACGAACGCUGGCGGUGUGCUUAACACAUGCAAGUGGUGCGACGAACCAGGCUUCGGCCUGGGGCAAAGCCGCGAACGGGUGAGUAACACGUGGGUAAUCUGCCCCAAUGACCGGGACAACCCGAGGAAACUCGGGCUAAUACCGGAUGUGGUGCUUGGACAUAAGUCCUUGUACUAAAGGUAGCUUCGGCUUCCGCAUUGGGAGGGGCCCGCGGCCCAUUAGCUAGUUGGUGGGGUCAAGGCCCACCAAGGCAACGAUGGGUAGCUGGUCUGAGAGGACGAUCAGCCACACUGGGACUGAGACACGGCCCAGACUCCUACGGGAGGCAGCAGUGGGGAAUCUUGCGCAAUGCGCGAAAGCGUGACGCAGCAACACCGCGUGAGGGAAGACGGCCUUAGGGUUGUAAACCUCUUUCAGAUGGGACGAAGGUUCGACGGUGAAUAGCCGAUCGGAUUGACGGUACCGUCAGAAGAAGCUCCGGCUAACUACGUGCCAGCAGCCGCGGUAAUACGUAGGGAGCGAGCGUUGUCCGGAAUCAUUGGGCGUAAAGAGCGCGUAGGUGGAUCAUCUAGUCUGCUGUGAAAGUCAAAGGCUCAACCUUUGAAAGCCGGUGGAUACUGUUGAUCUAGAGUACGGAAGAGGCGAGUGGAAUUCCUGGUGUAGCGGUGGAAUGCGCAGAUAUCAGGAGGAACACCAAUAGCGAAGGCAGCUCGCUGGGACGUUACUGACACUGAGGCGCGAAAGCGUGGGGAGCAAACAGGAUUAGAUACCCUGGUAGUCCACGCCGUAAACGAUGGGUACUAGAUGUGGGAGGUGUCGACUCCUCCCGUAUCGUAGCUAACGCACUAAGUACCCCGCCUGGGGAGUACGGCCGCAAGGCUAAAACUCAAAGGAAUUGACGG
rnacentral:rRNA from 1 species